rnacentral:rRNA from 1 species
AAUGGGGGAAACCCUGAUCUAGCCAUGCCGCGUGAGCGAUGAAGGCCCUAGGGUUGUAAAGCUCUUUCACCGGUGACGAUAAUGACGGUAGCCGGAGAAGAAGCCCCGGCUAACUCCGUGCCAGCAGCCGCGGUAAUACGGAGGGGGCUAGCGUUGUUCGGAAUUACUGGGCGUAAAGCGCGCGUAGGCGGACUGGAAAGUUGGGGGUGAAAUCCCGGGGCUCAACCCCGGAACUGCCUUCAAAACUCCCAGUCUAGAGACCGGAAGAGGCGAGUGGAAUUCCGAGUGUAGAGGUGAAAUUCGUAGAUAUUCGGAGGAACACCAGUGGCGAAGGCGACUCGCUGGUCCGGUACUGACGCUGAGGCGCGAAAGCGUGGGGAGCAAACAGGAUU